GACGAACGCUGGCGGCGUGCUUAACACAUGCAAGUCGAGCGGUAAGGCCCUUUCGGGGGUACACGAGCGGCGAACGGGUGAGUAACACGUGGGUGACCUGCCCUCAGCUCUGGGAUAAGCCUGGGAAACCGGGUCUAAUACUGGAUAUGACUCCAUGACGCAUGUUGUGGGGUGGAAAGCCUUGUGCGGCUGAGGAUGGGCCCGCGGCCUAUCAGCUUGUUGGUGGGGUGANGGCCUACCAAGGCGACGACGGGUAGCCGGCCUGAGAGGGCGACCGGCCACACUGGGACUGAGACACGGCCCAGACUCCUACGGGAGGCAGCAGUGGGGAAUCUUGCGCAAUGGGCGAAAGCCUGACGCAGCGACGCCGCGCGAGGGAUGACGGCCU
rnacentral:rRNA from 1 species